rnacentral:rRNA from 1 species
GACGAACGCUGGCGGCGUGCUUAACACAUGCAAGUCGAACGGAAAGGCCCUGCUUUUGUGGGGUGCUCGAGUGGCGAACGGGUGAGUAACACGUGAGUAACCUGACCUUGAAUUUGGGAUAACUUCAGGAAACUGCGGCUAAUACCGGAUAGGAGCACAUGCUUGAUGGUGGGGGUUGGAAAGUUUCGGUGUGUGGGGAUGGACUCGCGGCUUAUCAGCUUGUUGGUUGGGUAGUGGCUUACCAAGGCUUUGACGGGUAGCCGGCCUGAGCGGGUGACCGGCCACAUUGGGACUACGAUACGGCCCAAACUCCUACGGGAGGCAGCAGUGGGGAAUAUUGCACAAUGGGCGGAAGCCUUAUGCAGCAACGCCGCGUGCGGGAUGACGGCCUUCGGGUUGUAAACCUCUUUCGCCUGUGACGAAGCGUUAGUGACGGUAAUGGGUAAAGAAGCUCCGGCUAACUACGUG